rnacentral:lncRNA from 1 species
ACCUCGAGCGAGCUUAUCUCGGCUCAAAUUCAGCUUGAAAUUAAUUUCGAGCCUAAAUUUAAGCUCAAGCUUGGAUUAAAAUUAAUUCGAGCCGAGCUCGAGCGAGCCUAAUUUCGAGUCGAGGGAGCUCGAGCCCUAAACGAGCCGUUUGAAAUUCUCAACAUCAUACGAUUAAUAGUUUAAUUUGUAUAGAACAUUAUCUAUAAUUUGAUACAAAAAUAUGUUUAAUAGCUCAAAGUAUAAAAUAAUUAUAU